UUUGAUCAUGGCUCAGAUUGAACGCUGGCGAGAUACUUUACACACAUACAAGUCGAACGGCAGCACGGACUUCGGUCUGGUGGCGAGUGGCGAACGGGUGAGUAAUGUAUCCGGAACGUGCCUAGUAGCGGGGGAUAACUACGCGAAAGCGCUAAUACCGCAUACGCCCUUCGAGGAAAGCAGGGGACCUUCGGGCCUCGCACUAUUAAACGGCCGAUAUCGGAUUAGCAGCUAGUUGGUGGGGUAACGGCUCACCAAGGCGACGAUCCGUAGCUGGUUUGAGAGGACGACCAGCCACACUGGGACUGAGACACGGCCCAGACUCCUACGGGGAGGCAGCAGUGGGGAAUUUUGGACAAUGAAGCCUGAUCCAGCCAUCCCGCGUGUGCGAUGAAGGCCUUCGGGUUGUAAAGCACUUUUGGCAGAAAGAAACGGCACGGGAUAAUACCCCGUGCAACUGACGGUACCUGCAGAAUAAGCACCGGCUAACUACGUGCCAGCAGCCGCGGUAAUACGUAGGGUGCAAGCGUUAAUCGGAAUUACUGGGCGUAAAGCGUGCGCAGGCGGUUCGGAAGAAAGAUGUGAAAUCCCAGAGCUUAACUUUGGAACUGCAUUUUUUUAACUACCGAGCUAGAGUGUGUGUCAGAGGUGGAAUUCCAUGAUGUAGCAGUGAAAUGCGUAGAUAUGCGGAGGAACACCGAUGGCGAAGGCAGCCUCCUGGGAUAACACUGACGCUCAUGCACGAAGCGUGGGGGCAAACAGGAUUAGAUACCCUGGUAGUCCACGCCCUAAACGAUGUCAACUAGCUGUUGGGGCCUUCGGGCCUUGGUAGCGCAGCUAACGCGUGAAGUUGACCGCCUGGAAGUACGGUCACCACAAGAUUAAAACUCAAAGGAAUUGACGGGGACCCGCACAAGCGGUGGAUGAUGUGGAUUAAUUCGAUGCAACGCGAAAACCUUACCUACCCUUGACAUGUCUGGAAUCCCGAAGAGAUUUGGGAGUGCUCGCAAAGGAGCAAGACACAGGUGCUGCAUGGCUGUCGUCAGCUCGUGUCGUGAGAUGUUGGGUUAAGUCCCGCAACGAGCGCAACCCUUGUCAUUAGUUGCUACGAAAGGGCACUCUAAUGAGACUGCCGGUGACAAACCGGAGGAAGGUGGGGAUGACGUCAAGUCCUCAUGGCCCUUAUGGGUAGAGCUUCACACGUCAUACAAUGGUCGGGACAGGGGUCGCCAACCCGCGAGGGGAGCCAAUCCCAGAAACCCGAUCGUAGUCCGGAUCGCAGUCUGCAACUCGACUGCGUGAAGUCAGGGAGAAUCGCUAGUAAUCGCGGAUCAGCAUGUCGCGGUGAAUACGUUCCCGGGUCUUGUACACUGCCCGUCACACCAUGGGAGUGGGUUUUACCAGAAGUAGUUAGCCUAACCGUAAGGAGGGCGAUUACCACGGUAGGAUUCAUGGCCGGGGUGAAGUCGUAACAAGGUAA
rnacentral:rRNA from 1 species